rnacentral:rRNA from 1 species
AUUGAACGCUGGCGGCAGGCCUAACACAUGCAAGUCGAGCGGGGUUUUCGGACCUAGCGGCGGACGGGUGAGUAAUGCGUAGGAAGCUGCCCGAUAGAGGGGGAUACCAGUUGGAAACGACUGUUAAUACCGCAUAAUGUCUACGGACCAAAGUGUGGGACCUUCGGGCCACAUGCUAUCGGAUGCGCCUACGUGGGAUUAGCUAGUUGGUGAGGUAAUGGCUCACCAAGGCGACGAUCUCUAGCUGGUUUGAGAGGAUGAUCAGCCACACUGGAACUAAGACACGGUCCAGACUCCUACGGGAGGCAGCAGUGGGGAAUAUUGGACAAUGGGCGAAAGCCUGAUCCAGCCAUGCCGCGUGUGUGAAGAAGGUCUUCGGAUUGUAAAGCGCUUUAAGUUGGGAGGAAGGGCGUUUGGCUAAUAUCCAGGCGUUUUGACGUUACCAACAGAAUAAGCACCGGCUAACUUCGUGCCAGCCGCCCCGUAACAC